GACAGAGGAUGCAAGCGUUAUCCGGAAUGAUUGGGCGUAAAGCGUCUGUAGGUGGCUUUUUAAGUCCGCCGUCAAAUCCCAGGGCUCAACCCUGGACAGGCGGUGGAAACUACCAAGCUGGAGUACGGUAGGGGCAGAGGGAAUUUCCGGUGGAGCGGGUGAAAUGCGUAGAGAUCGGAAAGAACACCGAUGGCGAAGGCACUUUACUGGGCUAUUACUAACACUGAGAGACGAAAGCUAGGGUAGCAAAUGGG
rnacentral:rRNA from 1 species